GAUGCCGUAGCCUAACGGGAAGGCAAGGUCUCAUAAACCUCAGGUUGCUGGUUCGAAUCCAGCCGGCAUCGCCA
rnacentral:tRNA from 1 species